UACGGGGGGAGCAAGCGUUGUUCGGAUUUACUGGGCGUAAAGGGCGCGUAGGCGGCCACCGCAAGUCGACUGUGAAAUCUCCGGGCUUAACCCGGAAAGGUCAGCCGAUACUGCGGGGCUAGAGUGCAGAAGGGGCAACUGGAAUUCUCGGUGUAGCGGUGAAAUGCGUAGAUAUCGAGAGGAACACCUGCGGCGAAGGCGGGUUGCUGGGCUGACACUGACGCUGAUGCACGAAAGCUAGGGGAGCGAACGGG
rnacentral:rRNA from 1 species